rnacentral:rRNA from 1 species
CACCGGCGGCUCGAGUGGUAACCGUUAUUAUUGGGUCUAAAGGGUCUGUAGCCGGCCGGAUAAGUCUCUUGGGAAAUCCAGCAGCUCAACUGUUGGGCUUCCAGGAGAUACUGUUCGGCUCGAGGCCGGGAGAGGUGAGAGGUACUUCAGGGGUAGGGGUGAAAUCUUGUAAUCCUUGAAGGACCACCAGUGGCGAAGGCGUCUCACCAGAACGGACCUGACGGCAAGGGACGAAAGCUAGGGGCACGAA